rnacentral:rRNA from 1 species
UACGUAGGGGGCAAGCGUUGUCCGGAAUUAUUGGGCGUAAAGAGCGUGUAGGCGGCCCGGUAAGUCCGCUGUAAAAGUCCAGGGCUCAACCCUGGAAAGCCGGUGGAUACUGUCGGGCUCGAGUCCGGAAGAGGCGAGUGGAAUUCCUGGUGUAGCGGUGAAAUGCGCAGAUAUCAGGAGGAACACCGAUGGCGAAGGCAGCCCCUGGGAUAACACUGACGCCUCAUGCACGAAAGCGUGGGGAGCAAACAGG